UUGUUCACCCGGAAGGGGCGACACCAUUGUCACAGAAGGUGAGUUUUCCUUGAUGAGGCUAAUUCGUCGCAUUCCAGAUGUGCUGAUCCCUCUAAUUUCCCCAAAUGAAGGAACCUCAACUGCCUUUUUUGGUAGAAGGAGAUUGUUUGCACCCUCCGC
rnacentral:snRNA from 1 species